AUGAACGCUAGCUACAGGCUUAACACAUGCAAGUCGAGGGGAAACGACAUCGAAAGCUUGCUUUCGAUGGGCGUCGACCGGCGCACGGGUGAGUAACGCGUAUCCAACCUGCCCAUCACUUGGGGAUAACCUUGCGAAAGUAAGACUAAUACCCAAUGACGUCUCUAGAAGACAUCUGAAGGAGAUUAAAGAUUUAUCGGUGAUGGAUGGGGAUGCGUCUGAUUAGCUUGUUGGCGGGGUAACGGCCCACCAAGGCGACGAUCAGUAGGGGUUCUGAGAGGAAGGUCCCCCACAUUGGAACUGAGACACGGUCCAAACUCCUACGGGAGGCAGCAGUGAGGAAUAUUGGUCAAUGGGCGAGAGCCUGAACCAGCCAAGUAGCGUGCAGGAUGACGGCCCUAUGGGUUGUAAACUGCUUUUAUAAGGGAAUAAAGUGAGCCUCGUGAGGCUUUUUGCAUGUACCUUAUGAAUAAGGACCGGCUAAUUCCGUGCCAGCAGCCGCGGUAAUACGGAAGGUCCGGGCGUUAUCCGGAUUUAUUGGGUUUAAAGGGAGCGUAGGCCGGAGAUUAAGCGUGUUGUGAAAUGUAGACGCUCAACGUCUGCACUGCAGCGCGAACUGGUUUCCUUGAGUACGCACAAAGUGGGCGGAAUUCGUGGUGUAGCGGUGAAAUGCUUAGAUAUCACGAAGAACUCCGAUUGCGAAGGCAGCUCACUGGAGCGCAACUGACGCUGAAGCUCGAAAGUGCGGGUAUCGAACAGGAUUAGAUACCCUGGUAGUCCGCACGGUAAACGAUGGAUGCCCGCUGUUGGUCUGAAUAGGUCAGCGGCCAAGCGAAAACAUUAAGCAACUCA
rnacentral:rRNA from 1 species